GAAGACCCGCCCCUCCCGGGCCUCCGGAUCCUGGCUGGGAGCCAUCUCUGCCUCCUGCCGCUUCCUGCACUCCUGAUCAGCUUAGCCCCUGCAGAAACUGGAUAAACCCUGGAGAAUGACUGUAGUCUACACCAGGAUUAAACAAAUAGUAACCCUGAUUGCAGGUGCUGUACUAGACAUAGUAUCUUUGGUAGAACCAAUUAGUGAGGCUUUCGGUACAACCAUUGACAUGGGAGAUGCAUUCUUUUCCAUUCCAAUCAAGAAAGAGGAUCAGAAAUGGUUUGUAUUUAGGUAGGAUAGAAAACAAUAUUAAACUGAAGUUUUGCCUCAGGGCUAAAUGAACUCUACUGCCUUCUGUCCUAAAAUAGCUUGAGGAUAUGUGGACCACCUGAAUGUCCCACAGAACAUCAUGACACCUUGGUGAUGGGGCAGAACCAACAAUAGAUGGCUAUCUCACUAGAGGUCUUGGUAAGAUACAUGCACUAGAGAGGAUGGGAAAUAAACCCUAUAAAGAUUGAGAGAUAUACAUGUCAAUAAAGUCCUUACGGAUCCAAUGCUCAGGGUCAUUCCUGAAUAUCUCCUCUAAAUUCAAAUAAAACCACUGCAUCUUGCAUUCCCUACCACAAAGAAGGAAGCACAGUGCAUGGUGUGCCUCAUUUGCUUCUGAUGGCAACACAUUUCAUACCUAGGAAUGCUGCUUCAGCCCCUAUACUGGAUGACACAAAAGGGUGCUAACUUUGAGUGGAGCCUAAACUAGGAAAGAGCUCUGCAACAGGUCCGAACUGGAGUGCAAGCACACCUGCCACUGGAGCCGUGUUAUCUCACGGACCUCAUGAGGUUGUAGGUGUCAGCAGUGGGACAAGAUGCAUCAUAGGGUGGAAAUUGUAUAUCUAAGAUCAAACCUAGGCAGGACUGGAGGAUACGCAUGAGUAAUCCACAUAAGCUGGUAGCCCAGACCCCCAUGUCACCCACCGCGGCUAUACCAGCGCUCCUGCCUCAGCUCAUAUUUAUGGCCAUAUUGGAGUGCUGACACACUGAUCUGGGGUUACUCACUCACAUCAGGCACUGGAUGAGUACAGUGUCCUGGGCUAAAGUUGAUCUAUCCCAGACCCUCACCUUCAGCAGCAUCAGUGGCCCUCACAGCAGCUCUCCCUCCUCUGUAUUCCUACUUAGUGGCAGCUGUGGCCUGCAGCACCCAGAAACAGUGAGGUAGAGGGAAUGGCAAGCAUCCAUUACCCUGUGCUCCAUCAAUGGCACUGUCACCCCCUCUGUAGGCUCUGUGCCAUGUGUCAGGUAGUACCCAGGGCUUGUGAGACAUCACUCCAAGUUUCCAACCAGGUAUGCUCUUGAUUCCAGUGGAUGUGAUGACGUUGUGCUCUCUCAGGGCUUAGGCUAUGCCAGAGGAGGGAUGAACAUUCCUUGCUGAAUGAGAUCCCUCUAGCUGUUCCACCCAGGGCCUCUGGCCUGUCCUUUCCUUUGGUGAUGGAGUGUAGAAGGCAGGCGUGGAGUUAACACAGAAAGAUUUAACUUUCUGUGUUAGGCAGGCAUGGAGUUAACCCUCUGAAAACACAGGAUGCCAGUCUAAAGAGUGAAGAGAAAAUGUGGUUGGAAGAUGUGUUCUUCUACCUUUACAUCAUAAAUUUCAGAACAGUGCAUUUCAUGACCAGAAGAUGAAUUACUGUUCACAUUUUUCUGCAUGCUCUGGAUAAGAUUUGCAAUUGUGAUCAUUGCCAAUGGAAGCACAGUAACAGCUUUCAGAGGGUCAGUGGAAGCCAGUAUGGAAGAUAUACGCUGGACAAGGCAGCCUCUUGAGUGAUGAUGUAACUACCAUUAAACACAUGGUAUCAGGGAACUACAGAGGUAUGAUCUGUGUUGCUUCAAUACAAAAAAGUGAAGAAGAGCCACGGCACUGCCAGUAAUAAUGACGUUCCAUGAGAGAUAUACAAGUAGCCAGAACUUUUGCCACUAAGAAGAAACUUCACACUGAAAGGACAAUAGAUAAAUAUGUAAAUGCAUCUUGUCUACCUAUCACUCUAAAUCAAUUGAUCAGUGUAUACAUCACCAUGCCUCAUGAAUUUUGUCAUAAAUUUUUAAUCAAAUUGUUUAUGCAGAGGAUUCACGAAAAUGAGAGAGAUAAUCUGCCCUGGAUUAAUCAAUGACAUUUACCAAGCUCUAAUAAGAACAAGAAUUGUGCUAGAUACCAUGGAUACAAUAAAGAACAAUGCACAAAUGGACUAAAUGUAACUCACUGUCUAAACUGGUAGCAAUGCAUAUAGACAGACGCAGGGUGUCCUGAGCAGGGACAUAGGAAGGGGUGAUGGAAUGAACACCCAGCGAUGGUUCCGUACUGAUGUUCCCAGUUGAAGUCAUCAAAAAGGUGACCACUCCACAGGAACUCCAUUUGAGGGCCUUGUUCAAUGGGACUUUUCAGCCAUCCUCCCAAUCCAAGUAUUUUCUUCACCUAUUAAACUUGUCUUUGAUUAGCUCUCCAUUGGUCAGAGAUUCUGUGAGAUACCUAUGAAAAGAUGGAAGUGACACUUACAUAUGCCUAUCCCAACAGCCUAGCUGGAAAUCACCAAAAUGAGGCAAGAGAACAGGGUUUUUAGUGAACCUUUUUCCUGUGUGCCUGUUCUAGUUGAAGAAUCUGGGUUUAAUAGACCUAGAAUUCUUUAUAAAAGAAUUCUUGCCAGGCCAGGCGUGGUGGCUUACGCCUGUAAUCCCAGCACUUCAGGAGGCCAAGGCAGGUGUAUCAUGAGGUCAAGAGUUUGAGACUAGCCUGACCAACAUGAUGAAACCCCGUCUCUGCUAAAAAUACAAAAAUUAGCUGGACGUGGAGGCACAUGCUUGUAAUCCCAGCUACUCAGGAGGCUGAGGCAGGAGAAUCAUUUGAACCUGGGAGGCGGAGGUUGCAGUGGGCCGAGAUCGCACCAUUGCACUCCAGCCUGGGCGACAGAGUGAGACUUUGUCUGAAAAAAAUAAAAUAAAAAAAUAAAGAAUUCUUGCAACCACACCUCACAGAUCACAGUUCCAGAACUGCUGCAGAAGAAGGUCUUUCUGAAGAAGGUACAAAGGGGAAAGAUAAAGGUGCUGGGUUUUAUCUCUGGUCCUGGUCAGAAUCAACUCAGUCUUUACCAACAGGGAUUGUCCCAUCUGUCAUCCUUGGUUACACAAGCCCCAUCAGGCAGAAUGGGGGAAGGACUGAGCUCUGGGCCUGGUGAGCACCACUGAGCGCCCCACUGCUACUUCAGGAAUCGCCUAUCAGGCUGGUGGGUGGGGUAGGAGUGAAAAUAAUCAGCACCAGUUUUGGAGUCCAGUCUAGAAGUGGCAUUUGACCAGACCCCCCCAUAGCUCUUGAGGGUCUUUUCUGAGGACCUUUACUGCAGUCUAUGCAAAAAACCCACUCAUAGUCCUCAGUAACUUCCAGUCCUCCAAAGCCAUACAGUGUGGUCAUUUUACUCAUCCUCUAGGCUUUCUUUAGUUAUUCAUGCAAAGAUAGGCCUGGCCUUGGGUGUCUGUAGCGAGGCCACAAGGCCUUGGAUCAGAACAGCAACGUCAGGGAAAACAAAAUCCAAGGGGCUGCCCAGUCCAAGGGCAAACUGGGAGUCUAGUCCCCAUCUUGUAACCACGAUCUCUACCUUGCGAUGCUGCAGGGGCACCUCUUCUGCCUUUCACCUAGGCUCCUGGCAAAGGCCUUGCAAAGCAUUAUUCAGGGCACUGUGUGAGGCCAGAGAAGGAACUGAGGAAGACCACACCCAUACACAGAGAUGAAGAGUGUGGAGUGACAGGAAGACGGAGUGGGGAGGUGGUUUUCCCCUCUGAAGUCGGACCGCUCCGUGGCCAGGCUGUCCUCCAGCUGCACUGAGUGGUUCUGCCUGUCGAUGGCCUGCCAGCCUGCCGUGGGCCACUAUCAGUCUGCUCUUACACCGGUGUGUUCCUCUUGACGUCCAGAGGCUUGUGUGCGUGCCUGCUAAGCUCUCAGGUUUUUUUACAGGCACAGAAUGAGGGUGUGGUAGGCCAGGGUAGUCUUGGGAAAUCCAACAUUUAAGCACGAAAACAGAAAUGCCUGUCCUCACCUAGGUCUGUGGGCACAGGCCCGGGGGUGGAGCCCUAGCCAGGGACCACACCCUUCCCUUCCCAGCACUUCCCCGCCCCCCUUCCGUAUCAGUAGCUUGAGGGAGUUACUUCUCAGGGAGAUGUUUUGGUUUUUAGGGAGAAGACAAAACCUCCAAUUUGAAAAACAAAGCGAGUCCUUUGGUGAGGGAAACACUGGACACACAGAGGGCGGGCUGGAAGGGCAGGUGCUGGGAAGACAGCAAGGAGUGCAGACCCACUGGGGAGGCAGCCUGGGAAGAUGUUUAUUUUCUGAGAGACGAGGAAAGACUGGGAAACGGAGAAAUUUUUAGGGUGGAGGGUGGGAAACUUGGGAAACAGCAGAUGGUCUUAAUCUUCUGAGAAAGGAGGCAGUGCCAAGCCUGGCUGGGGCGACAGUGGGAGUGUGGGCUGAGGGAUGGUGGGGACAUCCUCUGCUAGCUGCUGAAGGUCUAGGAUGGGCACUGAGGCGAGCCUCAGCGGUGCUCCCCGGGCUUGCCUCCCAGGAGGGACCCUGCAGGAAGGUGUCCAGAUGCAGAGCCCCAACUCCUCCCCCAGAGACUUGGAUUCAGUAGAACUGGGAUAGGGUCCAAAAUCUGUAUCAUUAGGACACUCUCAGAGUAUACUUGUCAUCAGGCAAAGCCUGGAGAAAUAGCAAAAAGAACCGUUAGCCCCAGGGAGAGCCCACUGGAGGCUGGAAACGGGAAGUAUUGGGGAAUCACUUAGUAUCCUUUAUCACAGACUCUGCUGCCCAGAACCCUGGGGGAGAAAGCUGACAGGGGAAGGAGUGUGUAGCCACGUGGGAUGUACCCAGGAGGGGAAGGUAUCUCCAGGAGGGUAGAGUCCAUCCAGGAGGGUGAGGUCUAGUUGGGGGGAUGGGGUCUACCCAGAGGGGUGAGGUCUGGCUGGAGGGGGGAUGGGGACAGUCCAGGAGGGAGAAGUCUAGCUGGGGGGAUGGGAUCUGUCCAGGAGGAUGAAGUCUAGCUAGGGGGAUGGGGUUUACUCAGGAGGGUGAGUUCUGGUUGGGGAGAUGGGUCUACCCAGAGGAUGAGGUCUAGCUGGGGGGAGAGGGUCUGUCCAGGAGGGUAAGGUCUCUCCAUAGGGUGCUUUGGGAGGUCUGGGGCUUGGGGUUCCUGUGAUCACAGCCCAAAUAUAUGACUUGGACCCACACUUGGCAGAGACCAAGGUGAAGACAAGACAGGACUGAUGGACUCUGAGGAAAGAGCGUGGCGGGAGCAGGGUCAAGAGCGAGAGGCCAGAGUGCAAGGAAGUGGGAGGGUCUGAGGUGGGAUCCCAGAGUGGGAGCUGGGGAGCUGGAGUGCUGGAAAUGCUUCUCAUGCUGGAGAGGCCAAUCCUAGGGCUUGGUUAGACUAAGUGCGUUUAACUGGGGCAGCAGUUUUACACAUGUAUUUCAGGAGGAGAUGAUUUUAUCAUAAACACAUUCCACUGAUUCAUGUGAAAUCAUUAAAAAAAUUAAGGUCAAGGUUUUUUUCUCCUGGCUGCUUUAGGCUACAUGCCCAGGACUCCUGUCCCUCUGUGGUGAGGGGAUUUGGGUGGAAGAGUUUGAGAAGCUCUGCUGUGGAAUCCUCUCCUUUUUAAAUAAAGAGGGACACUCCAAGCCUGGCAUUGAAAGGCACACCUCUCGGUGGAAGCAGUUGGCCAGGUUUUGAUCCCUUAAGGAUUGGAACCUUAUGAAAUUGCCAAGAUUGGACCAUGUUUGACUUGUGUAAAUAGCUUCUUCCUGUGAUUCAGUCUGAAUUUUAGACUCCAGGUCUCAUCGCUGCCUCCACCAUGUGGCCUCAAGGGGGCGCCGCUCCGCCUCCUAAAUCCCCAAGGACAAAGCCCACUUUCUUGGCUUCUGGAAGCAGCGCGAGGGGUCAUUGGUGGAA
rnacentral:lncRNA from 1 species